GGAAGAGUGUCCGAGCGGCCGAAGGAACACGCCUCGAAAGCGUGCGUAGUGAAAGCUACCGCGGGUUCAAAUCCCGCCUCUUCCG
rnacentral:tRNA from 1 species